CUGGCUAUUCACGGACUAGCUGUACCUACUUUUUUUUCUUGGGAUCAAUAUCAGCAAUGCAGUUCAUCCAACGAUAAACCAAAUUCCAACUAUAGAACUAUGACACAAUCAACCCGAAUGAACAAAAUGUUGAAUUGA
rnacentral:rRNA from 1 species